GAGGGUAUAGCUCAGUGGUAGAGUGCAUGCCUAGCAUGCAUGAGGUCCUGGGUUCAAUCCAUAGUACCGCCA
rnacentral:tRNA from 1 species